CAAAUAAGGACACGAGUGUUUCUCUUUUCCUCUGGGGAACUUCUUUGGGUCUGGAACAUACGGCUCAGUUUCCUUUUGUAAAAAAGUGGAAUUUUUCAAUAUUCAGAUUCCUCUUGUGUCCUGAAGACUCUCUAAGGAGCGAUUUUCAGGCAGCAUGUGUAGGAAGCGCUGCUCGGCUGUGGCCUCGGGCUGUCUGGCUGUGAUUUUGGAAGGAGCAGCCAUAGCAUUGAGCACUCAGGUGGGGGAAGGAGCAGGGAGGAUGAAUGUAAGUACUUUAACUUAUCUGAAUGUUUCUUCCCUCUGAGCUGUAAUGUGAGAUCCCUUCUCAGAGGAAUCAGAGGUGGAAGUGAUAGUUCAGGUUUGAUAGCUCAUCGGUCCUGUGUGGUGGGAGCAGAGGGCAAUAAGAAGAAAUUGAGCUAGGCCGUGAGGAAACUGGAAAAAAUCCAUUCCAGAUGUUCCUUACCACGUGCAAAGUCGUGGUUCAAUUUCCAGAAAGUUGCUUUGUAUGAUUUUCUUGAAGAGGAUGUUGAACGGUCUCUGUUCUCGUUUAGAUAUUAGGUGUCCCCCAAAAACCCGCGUGUGAGACAAUGCAGGAGGGUUUAGAGGACAAAUGAUUGGGUUACAAGAGCCUUAACUCAAUCAAUGGAUUAAUCCCCUGAUGGGAUUCACUGAGUGGUAACUGAAGGCGGGUAGGGUGUGGCUGGAGGAGGUGGGUCACGGCCCUUGUACCUCUCCAGUACAUACUUGGUAUCAGUCAAGUGGAGUUUAUUUCUGCUUCCUGAUCAUCACGUGAGCCACUUCCUUCCACUACACUCUUCCGCCAUGUUGUUCUUCCUCACCUUGAUCCCUGAGGAAGGGAGUUAGCUGCCUAUGGAUUGAGACCUCUGAAACUAGGAACACCCAAAUGAAUUUUUCCUCCUCUGCAAUUUUUCUGGUUAGGUCUUUUAGUCACAGCAGUGAAAAAGCUGACUACAACAGUCCCUUUAUUCAAAUUAUGCCCCCAAAGAACUUCCACUGGUGGGUGAUGUGACACUGAGACCUGCAUGACAUUCUUCCUUUAAGAGGAAGGACGGUCCCCCACCAUCCCAUCCUAUGAUGUCAGUGAAGAAACCAAACUUGAUGCAGAAGAGCUGAGAGACCCAUUUCAAUCAACUUAAGACUUGAAUGUUGUCCCCCUUGCUGUCCUCCUGCCUCUGUGGCUGGGGUGGGAGGGCAUGGAGGGUGGGUGACGAAGCCAGGCUGACCAUUAAUUGAUGUGUCAUUGAGUGAUCUGGGACACACUGUUAUAGUUGCAGAAUGGAUGCUCCUGCCUUCCCAUAAUUUCCAGAAUGUUCUACCUGCAUUGAACUCUUUGUCAUUCUUGAACUAUGACUUUUCCUUUGCUGUUUUUGUACCUUUGCACAAUUCACACUAUCUGGAAUCCCCUCCCUCAUCUCCUCUGAGGACUCCCACUCAUUCAUCCUUCUGAGCUGUCACCCUGCCAGGAAGACUUCACAAAGGCCUUGGCCACCUCAUGGUACCUCUGUCAAGACCUGACAUGGUUUUCCAUCCUGAGAACCACCAACAUCCAAUAGCAUCCCUCUCUCCAAUUCCAUGUGAGGACAGUGGCCCAGGCCCUUUUGUCUUCGUGGACUUGUGCCUCUACAAUGUUUGACACUUCAAUAGAAACCAUAUGACUUUCUCUUGAGGGAGCUGCUCACUGAAAUAAACCCUGAGCUCCUGCGUGUACUGGGGAGAACAGAGUGUGCCGGAAUCGCUUCUAGGGAUUGACAGCUGACAUGCCCCAGGCCCUUUCCACCCACCACCUCCGACUGUCUUCACAACAGCAAAUAGGUGUUGACAUCCUCACUUUACAUCCGAGGAACAGCCCA